UAAAUAUGGACUGAGGUUUAGAUUAAGAAGCAGCAAUAGCCCCAUCAAAACACUAUUUCUUCUAUAAGUGAUACUCAUGGAAAGAGCUUCAAUUAUGUAUUUCAAGCUCCUCCUUUUAGGAAUUCUUCUGCUUCAUUCUUCAGCUGGUGUGUUGGGUAAAAGGGUUGCACCACAAGGGCCAGGAGUAUCAAGUGGAUUAACCCAUGUUGAAGGCCAUAGGAGAGAAUUGCAGGAUUGGUGUAUUACAAAGGGAUAUCCUUGCGAUGAAAGUGUUCCAGGAAAUUACCCAUGUUGUCCUCCUUAUGUUUGUAUUGUAAACUGGUUGCCUUGGGGAAACAAUUAUUGUGACACUCUGUUUCCAAUUUAACAUAUAUCGCCCCAUUAAAAAAACUGGCAGAAUCAUUUAAGUCAGCUUGUUUUAUUUCACUUGUUUUAAAAUGUUUAACAAUCCUCCAUAAUUAGGUCUUUGACCAUAUAAAGGAGGUAAUUAUGUAAUUUCCUUGUUCAAUUUUUAUUCGAAUAAUAUCUCGAGUGUGACCAUGGGAUUGGUUGAUCUAA